GGGUGCCAUUUGGGAGACAGUCACCACAAUGAAAGAUGAUGGUAAGGAAUUCUCUGCUGCUUGUUGAGAAUGCAUUGUCUCAUUAUGAGAGUGGGCUGAAUGAGAGGGUGCUAUCCCUCAUUAUUACAGUGGGCUGAAUGAGAAGGUGCUAUGCCUCAUUAUUACAGUGGGCUGAAUGAGAGGGUGCCAUGCUUCAUUAUUACAGUGGGCUGAAUGAGAGGUUGCUAUGCCUCAUUAUUACAGUGGGCUGAAUGAGAGGGUGCCAUGCCUCAUUAUUACAGUGGGCUGAAUGAGAGGGUGCUAUGCCUCAUUAUUACAGUGGGCUGAAUGAGAGGGUGCCAUGCCUCAUUAUUACAGUGGGCUGAAUGAGAGGGUGCCAUGCCUCAUUAUUAGAGUGGGCUGAAUGAGAUUGUGCUAUGCCUCAUUAUUACAGUGGGCUGAAUGAGAGGGUGCUAUGCCUCAUUAUUAGAGUGGGCAGAUUGAGAAGGUGCUAUGCCUCAUUAUUAGAGUGGGCUGAAUGAGAGGGUGCCAUGCCUCAUUAUUAGAGUGGGCUGAAUGAGAGGGUGCCAUGCCUCAUUAUUAGAGUGGGCUGAAUGAGAGGUUGCUAUGCCUCAUUAUUACAGUGGGCUGAAUGAGAAGGUUGCUAUGUCUCAUUAUUAGAGUGGGCUGAAUGAGAGGUUGCUAUGUCUCAUUAUUAGAGUGGGCUGAAUGAGAAGGUUGCUAUGUCUCAUUAUUAGAGUGGGCUGAAUGAGAGGUUGCUAUGCCUCAUUAUUACAGUGGGCUGAAUGAGAAGGUGCUAUGCCUCAUUAUUAGAGUGGGCUGAAUGAGAGGUUGCUAUGUCUCAUUAUUAGAGUGGGCUGAAUGAGAAGGUGCUAUGCCUCAUUAUUAGAGUGGGCUGAAUGAGAAGGUUGCUAUGUCUCAUUAUUAGAGUGGGCUGAAUGAGAGGUUGCUAUGUCUCAUUAUUAGAGUGGGCUGAAUGAGAAGGUGCUAUGCCUCAUUAUUAGAGUGGGCUGAAUGAGAAGGUUGCUAUGUCUCAUUAUUAGAGUGGGCUGAAUGAGAAGGUGCUAUGCCUCAUUAUUAGAGUGGGCUGAAUGAGAAGGUGCUAUGCCUCAUUAUUAGAGUGGGCUGAAUGAGAAGGUUGCUAUGUCUCAUUAUUAGAGUGGGCUGAAUGAGAAGGUGCUAUGCCUCAUUAUUAGAGUGGGCUGAAUGAGAGGUUGCUAUGUCUCAUUAUUAGAGUGGGCUGAAUGAGAAGGUGCUAUGCCUCAUUAUUAGAGUGGGCUGAAUGAGAAGGUUGCUAUGUCUCAUUAUUAGAGUGGGCUGAAUGAGAAGGUUGCUAUGUCUCAUUAUUAGAGUGGGCUGAAUGAGAGGUUGCUAUGUCUCAUUAUUAGAGUGGGCUCGAUACUACCCCCACCUCCCCCUAACCCACUCACCCAUCAGAGCGUGUGUGUGUGUGUGUGUUUGGUACCGCUGGUUUUGAGAUUCUGCACUAACGCUCCUCUCUG